rnacentral:rRNA from 1 species
GACGAACGCUGGCGGCGUGCUUAACACAUGCAAGUCGAACGGAAAGGCCCUGCUUUUGUGGGGUGCUCGAGUGGCGAACGGGUGAGUAACACGUGAGUAACCUGCCCUUGACUUUGGGAUAACUUCAGGAAACUGGGGCUAAUACCGGAUAGGAGCUCCUGCUGCAUGGUGGGGGUUGGAAAGUUUCGGCGGUUGGGGAUGGACUCGCGGCUUAUCAGCUUGUUGGUGGGGUAGUGGCUUACCAAGGCUUUGACGGGUAGCCGGCCUGAGAGGGUGACCGGCCAAAUUGGGCUUGGGAUACGGCCCAGACUCCUACGGGGGGAAGAGGUGGGGAAAAUUGAACAUGGGGCGGAGGCCGGAUGCAGCAACGCCGGGUGGGGGAUGACGGCCUUCGGGUGUAAACCGCUUUCGCCUGUGACGAAGCGUGAGUGACGGUAAUGGGUAAAGAAGCACCGGCUAACUACGUG